rnacentral:rRNA from 1 species
AGAAUCAACGCUGGCGGCGUGCCUAACACAUGCAAGUCGAACGAGAAAGUGGAGCAAUCCAUGAGUACAGUGGCGUACGGGUGAGUAACACGUGACUACCUACCCUCGAGUGGGGAAUAACCUCGGGAAACCGGGGCUAAUACCGCAUAACAUCUACGGAUCAAAUGCGUAAGCAGCUUGAGGAGGGGGUCGCGGCCGAUUAGCUAGUUGGUGAGGUAAUGGCCCACCAAGGCAAUGAUCGGUAGCCGGACUGAGAGGUUGGCCGGCCACACUGGAACUGAGACACGGUCCAGACUCCUACGGGAGGCAGCAGUGGGGAAUCUUGCACAAUGGGCGAAAGCCUGAUGCAGCAACGCCGCGUGGGGGAUGAAGCUUCUCGGAGUGUAAACCCCUUUCGACCCGGAAGAAGCCGCAAGGGUUUGACGGUACGGGUAUAAGAAGCCCCGGCUAACUACGUGCCAGCAGCCGC